rnacentral:ncRNA from 2 species
CGCUCAUCCAGAGGGACUGAGGGAACGGCCCGUUGAAGUCCCGGCAACCCUCCCGCCGACCGUUGAGGUCACGGUGGGGAAGGUGCCAAUUCCGUCUUGUGGCGAAAUGCGUCGCAAGGAAGAUGAGGA